rnacentral:rRNA from 1 species
UGCUAUACAUGCAGUCGAGCGACAGAUAAGGAGCUUGCUCCUUUGACGUUAGCGGCGGACGGGUGAGUAACACGUGGAUAACCUACCUAUAAGACUGGGAUAACUUCGGGAAACCGGAGCUAAUACCGGAUAACAUAUUGAACCGCAUGGUUCAAUAGUGAAAGGCGGCUUUGCUGUCACUUAUAGAUGGAUCCGCGCCGUAUUAGCUAGUUGGUAAGGUAACGGCUUACCAAGGCAACGAUACGUAGCCGACCUGAGAGGGUGAUCGGCCACACUGGAACUGAGACACGGUCCAGACUCCUACGGGAGGCAGCAGUAGGGAAUCUUCCGCAAUGGGCGAAAGCCUGACGGAGCAACGCCGCGUGAGUGAUGAAGGUCUUCGGAUCGUAAAACUCUGUUAUCAGGGAAGAACAAAUGUGUAAGUAACUGUGCACAUCUUGACGGUACCUGAUCAGAAAGCCACGGCUAACUACGUGCCAGCAGCCGCGGUAAUACGUAGGUGGCAAGCGUUAUCCGGAAUUAUUGGGCGUAAAGCGCGCGUAGGCGGUUUUUUAAGUCUGAUGUGAAAGCCCACGGCUCAACCGUGGAGGGUCAUUGGAAACUGGAAAACUUGAGUGCAGAAGAGGAAAGUGGAAUUCCAUGUGUAGCGGUGAAAUGCGCAGAGAUAUGGAGGAACACCAGUGGCGAAGGCGACUUUCUGGUCUGUAACUGACGCUGAUGUGCGAAAGCGUGGGGAUCAAACAGGAUUAGAUACCCUGGUAGUCCACGCCGUAAACGAUGAGUGCUAAGUGUUAGGGGGUUUCCGCCCCUUAGUGCUGCAGCUAACGCAUUAAGCACUCCGCCUGGGGAGUACGACCGCAAGGUGA